AGCGAACGCUGGCGGCAGGCUUAACACAUGCAAGUCGAGCGGGCAUCCUUGUGGUGUCAGCGGCAGACGGGUGAGUAACGCGUGGGAACGUGCCCUUCGGUUCGGAAUAACUCAGGGAAACUUGAGCUAAUACCGGAUACGUGCGAGAGCAGAAAGGUUUAUCUGCCGAAGGAUCGGCCCGCGUCUGAUUAGCUAGUUGGUGAGGUUACGGCUCACCAAGGCGACGAUCAGUAGCUGGUCUGAGAGGAUGAUCAGCCACACCGGGACUGAGACACGGCCCAGACUCCUACGGGAGGCAGCAGUGGGGAAUAUUGGACAAUGGGGGCAACCCUGAUCCAGCCAUGCCGCGUGAGUGAUGACGGCCUUAGGGUUGUAAAGCUCUUUUCUCCGGGACGAUAAUGACGGUACCGGAGGAAUAAGCCCCGGCUAACUUCGUG
rnacentral:rRNA from 1 species